UACGUAGGUGGCAAGCGUUGUCCGGAUUUACUGGGCGUAAAGAGCGCGCAGGCGGUCGUUCAAGUCGCGUGUGAAAGCCCCCGGCUCAACUGGGGAGGGUCACGCGAUACUGAUCGACUCGAAGGCAGGAGAGGGUAGUGGAAUUCCUGGUGUAGCGGUGAAAUGCGCAGAUAUCAGGAAGAACACCAAUGGCGAAAGCAGCUUUCUGGGACGGUACUGACGCUGAGACGCGAAAGCGUGGGGAGCGAACAGG
rnacentral:rRNA from 1 species